rnacentral:rRNA from 1 species
GACGAACGCUGGCGGCGUGCUUAACACAUGCAAGUCGAACGAAGUGGCGAACGGGUGAGUAACGCGUAAUCAACCUGCCCUUCAGAGGGGGACAACAGUUGGCAACGACUGCUAAUACCGCAUACUUAAGGCGGUGAUUGCGUCUGAUUAGCUAGUUGGAUGGGUAACGGCCCACCAAGGUGAUGAUCAGUAGCCUGUCUGAGAUGAUGAACGGCCACAUUGGGACUGGGACACGGCCCAGACUCCUACGGGAGGCAGCAGUGGGGAAUCUUCCGAAAUGGACGAAAGUCUGGCGGAGCAACGCCGCGUGAGAGAUGACGGCCUUCGGGGUUUAAAGCUCUUUUAAUCGGGACGCGGUACCGGAAUAGAAAGCCACGGCUAACUACGUGCCAGCAGCCGCGGUAAUUC